GCGAGCGGCUGGGAUUUGAAUCUGCCGCGGACUGCAGCCGGAAGUGUCGAUCCCUCAGCCAGGCAUGGAGCUCUCCUACCCCGGUGCGCGGUGCCCGGUGCAAGAGCAGCGUGCCCGCUGGGAGCGGAAACGCGCCUGCACCGCCCGGGAGCUGCUAGAGACCGAGCGGCGCUACCAAGAACAGCUGGGGCUGGUGGCCACGUACUUUUUGGGGAUCCUGAAAGCCAAGGGGAUCCUGCGACCACCUGAGCGCCAGGCCCUGUUUGGCUCCUGGGAGCUCAUCUACGGCGCCAGCCAGGAGCUGCUUCCCUACCUGGAAGGAGGAUGCUGGGGCCAAGGGCUGGAGGGCUUCUGCCGCCACUUGGAGCUCUAUAACCAAUUUGCUGCCAACUCAGAGAGGUCCCAGACCACCCUGCAGGAGCAGCUAAAGAAAAAUAAAGGUUUCCGGAGGUUUGUACGGCUUCAGGAAGGCCGCCCUGAGUUUGGGGGCCUUCAGCUCCAGGACCUGCUCCCUCUGCCUCUGCAACGGCUCCAGCAGUAUGAGAAUCUCGUCGUAGCUUUGGCUGAAAACACAGGUCCCAACAGCCCUGACCAUCAACAGCUCACACGGGCUGCCCGACUGAUAAGUGAGACUGCCCAGAGAGUCCAUACUAUUGGUCAGAAACAGAAGAAUGACCAGCACCUUCGGCGUGUCCAGGCUCUGCUCAGUGGACGCCAGGCAAAGGGGCUGACCUCAGGGCGCUGGUUCCUACGCCAGGGCUGGCUGUUGGUGGUGCCUCCCCAUGGGGAGCCUCGGCCCCGCAUGUUCUUCCUCUUCACUGAUGUGCUCCUCAUGGCCAAGCCUCGGCCUCCACUGCACCUGCUGCGGAGUGGCACCUUUGCCUGCAAGGCCCUCUACCCCAUGGCCCAGUGUCAUCUCAGCAGGGUCUUUGGCCACUCAGGAGGCCCUUGUGGUGGGUUGCUCAGUCUCCAUGGAAACAGCAAGGGCUUCAGCUUUAGCCUGGACCUUUCUGAGCCAUGCGCUAAGAGGUGGUCUCUCUCUAGCUGUCCUUCCCUCAUGAGAAGCUACUGCUUAUGUCCACAGACCAGGAGGAGCUGUCACGCUGGUACCACAGUCUGACUUGCGCUAUCAGCAACCAGAAAAACUAGAGGAAUCUUAUAGAUUCCAGAACUCAGGAUACCUCAGGGAUAGGUCACAGCCAAGAGGACAAAGGAAUCUUCAGUACUGAACAAAACAGAACCCUUCAUGAUUUGACAAAGGUCACUUUCUGUUUGCCUGGACCAAGCUACUCCAGAUCAUCUGACCAACUCUUAAAAAUCACGGGGCCAGGCACAAUGGCUCAUGCCUGUAAUCCCAGCACUUUGGGAAGCAGAGGUGGCAGGAUCAUUCCAGCCCAGGAGUUCAAGACCAGCCUGGGCAACACAGGCCUCCUCCCAAGGAGAACAUGAGACCACUUCAUAUCUGGAACUCUAGAAACACUGGCUGCAGCAAUCAACCUCCUGUGCCAAGGUUGGCCCCACUCUUGUAGCAUGGACACUGCUAGCUGGGUUCAAAUCCCAGCUCCAGCAGUUGCCAGCGCUGGGUGACCUCGAGCAAGUGACUACUCCUCACUGGAUUGUAGGAGAACUAAAUGUGAUAGUCAUUAUUUACAGUUCACCACACGCUCUUCACAUCCGUUACCUCCCUGGAUCCUCAAAAUAACCUCAUAAUAUUGGAAGGCCAA